CCUACGGGAGGCUGCAGUGGGGAAUAUUGCACAAUGGGGGAAACCCUGAUGCAGCGACGCCGCGUGAGUGAAGAAGUAAUUCGGUAUGUAAAGCUCUAUCAGCAGGGAAGAAAAUGACGGUACCUGAGUAAGAAGCACCGGCUAACUACGUGCCAGCAGCCGCGGUAAUACGUAGGGGGCAAGCGUUAUCCGGAUUUACUGGGUGUAAAGGGAGCGUAGACGGCAGUGCAAGUCUGGAGUGAAAGGCGGGGGCUCAACCCCCGGACUGCUCUUGAAACUGUACGGCUGGAGUGCAGGAGAGGUAAGUGGAAUUCCGAGUGUAGCGGUGAAAUGCGUAGAUAUUAGGAGGAACACCAGUGGCGAAGGCGGCUUACUGGACUGUAACUGACGUUGAGGCUCGAAAGCGUGGGGAGCAAACAGGAUUAGAUACCCCAGUAGUC
rnacentral:rRNA from 1 species